GUCUAUGGACAUACCACCUUGACUUCACAAGCAAAAUAGGGUUGGGCUGGGUCAGUAAUUGGAUGGGAGACUACCUGGGAAUACCAGGGGCGGUAGGCU
rfam:Macaca mulatta chromosome 19, whole genome shotgun sequence.